GAUUCACCAUGCAUACUAUGGAGCCAUGCAUUGAAGGUGGAAGUCACACAGCUGGGCACUGGACUCCACCAUGAGUCUGGCAUUGACUGAGUAGCAAAUUGCCUAUAUGACAAAGGCCCACUUCUGUGAAACAGGGGCUCCCAGCUCUGGAGGACUGGAAUGGUGGUGAAUUGUGCACUUUAUGCAUGCUGCGCACUCCUGAUGCUGAAAUAUGAAAGGUUAGCACUGCAGUCCGUGCCGAUCACCCUGACAAACUCGAUGGAAAAAAAUCUCUGGGUUUGUCAUUGAUUAGUUGAGGAUGGUAAGCAAGUUGGAAUGAGGUUGCCUUUUGUAGGUCCCCCUUACAAAAGAUCCAUGUUGAUGAGAACUUUCUGGUAAAAUAAAGAUUAAAUAAAAAUGUGGUUUGACUCACUGACAGGAUGACACAGGCCAGGACAUGAGCCGUAUACAUUUUGUACAGUUGUUGCCUUGAAUAGCUUUGAAAGGCAGCAGUGAGCAUGUAUCAAGCCUGUGCUUUGAUGUGACGAGCGCCAGACUUUUUCCUAAUAAAGGUCAUUGUGUC